rnacentral:tRNA from 1 species
GAGCAUAUAGCUCAAUGGUAGAGCGUGUGCUUAACAUGCACAAAGUCCUGGGCUCAAUCCCCAGUACCUCU